GAUGAACGCUGGCGGCGUGCCUAAUACAUGCAAGUCGAGCGAACAGACGAUGAGCUUGCUCCUCUGACGUUAGCGGCGGACGGGUGAGUAACACGUGGAUAACCUACUUAUAAGACUGGGAUAACUUCGGGAAACCGGAGCUAAUACCGGAUAAUAUAUUGAACCGCAUGGUUCAAUAGUGAAAGACGGUUUUGCUGUCACUUAUAGAUGGAUCCGCGCCGCAUUAGCUAGUUGGUAAGGUAACGGCUUACCAAGGCGACGAUGCGUAGCCGACCUGAGAGGAUGAUCGGCCACACUGGAACUGAGACACGGUCCAGACUCCUACGGGAGGCAGCAGUAGGGAAUAUUCCGCAAUGGGCGAAAGCCUGACGGAGCCACGCCGCGUGAGUGAUGAAGGUCUUCGGAUCGUAAAGCUCUGUUGUUAGGGAAGAACAAAUGUGUAAGAAAAUAUGGACGUCUUGACGGUACCUAAUCAGAAAGCCACGGCUAACUACGUG
rnacentral:rRNA from 1 species